rnacentral:lncRNA from 1 species
GAUGAUCGACGGAAGUUCGUCGGAAACUCGCCGGAAGAAGCGAGUGACGCACCGAAGCAAGCUACAGAAUAUGUCUUAGGAAAUAAUCGUAGUUAGCACUUUGAUUAAGUUAGAAUUGGGAGGUGAUCCCAUUAGCUUAAUCCUGGGGCAAUUGGGCCCCUGAAGAACUCAAAUUGGGUCGAAUGGUUCAACCCAUUCGGACCCAGGUUGCUGUGG